rnacentral:rRNA from 1 species
UUUUCCGGUUGAUCCUGCCGGACCUUACUGCUAUCGGGUUGAGACUAAGCCAUGCAAGUCGUGCGCUCUCUAGCUAUGUUGAGAGCGCGGCGAACAGCUCUGUAAUACGUAGUUAACCUGCCCUCGGGAUGGAGAUAACCCCGGGAAACUGGGAUUAAUAUCCACUAGAUGAUACUGCCUGGAAUGGUUUAUCAUCGAAAGAUUCUGGAUACAUGCUUCCAGUAUCGCCCGAGGAUGGGACUGCGUCCGAUCAGGUUGUUGGCGGGGUAACGGCCCACCAAGCCUAUUACCGGUACGGGCCGCGAGAGCGGGAGCCCGGAGAUGGGCACUGAGACAAGGGCCCAGGCCCUACGGGGCGCAGCAGUCGCGCAAACUUUGCAAUACACGAAAGUGUGACAGGGCUACCCCGAGUGCCGCCCGCUGAGGGUGGCUUUUACCCAGUAUAAAUAGCUGGGAGAAUAAGGAGAGGGCAAGUCUGGUGUCAGCCGCCGCGGUAAUACCAGCUCUCCGAGUAGUGUGGAUGUUUAUUGGGCCUAAAGCAUCCGUAGCUUGCUAUAUAAGUCCCCUGUUAAAUCCACCGAUUUAAUCGUUGGAUUGCGGGGGAUACUGUUUGGCUAGGGGACGGGAGAGGCCGACGGUAUUUCCGGGGUAGGGGUGAAAUCCUAUAAUCCCGGGAAGACCACCAGUGGCGAAGGCUGUCGGCUAGAACGCGCCCGUCGGUGAGGGAUGAAAGCUGGGGGAGCGAACCGGAUUAGAUACCCGGGUAGUCCCAGCUGUAAACGAUGCAGGCUAGGUGUUUGGGCGGCUACGAGCCGCCCUAGUGCCGCAGGGAAGCUGUUAAGCCUGCCGCCUGGGGAGUACGGCCGCAAGGCUGAAACUUAAAGGAAUUGGCGGGGGAGCACCACAAGGGGUGAAGCUUGCGGUUUAAUUGGAUUCAACGCCGGGAAUCACUAGU